rnacentral:misc_RNA from 1 species
GGGGCUAACCUAACAAAUCUUCAAUUCUGGACUCUUCACAAACUCCCUCAAACUUUAUUCUUUUGGAUCCACAAAAUAUGGAGCUUCAGCAAACUCAGCAUCUUUGUCAAAAACAUCCCACCCAUCAUCUGAAAAUGAUGAUUUGGAAUGGUUUCUUUCUGAUCUUUCUUCUUCAAGAUUGUUUGACGCCGAGCUAGAGCUAC